GCAUAUCAAUAAGCGGAGGAAAAAGAAACCAACAGGGAUUGCCCCCAGUAACGGCGAGUGAAGCGGCAACAGCUCAAAUUUGAAAUCUGGCCCCAGGCCCGAGUUGUAAUUUGCAGAGGAUGCUUUUGGCGCGGUGCCUUCCGAGUUCCCUGGAACGGGACGCCAUAGAGGGUGAGAGCCCCGUACGGUUGGACACCAAGCCUUUGUAAAGCUCCUUCGACGAGUCGAGUAGUUUGGGAAUGCUGCUCAAAAUGGGAGGUAUAUUUCUUCUAAAGCUAAAUAUUGGCCAGAGACCGAUAGCGCACAAGUAGAGUGAUCGAAAGAUGAAAAGCACUUUGAAAAGAGGGUUAAACAGCACGUGAAAUUGUUGAAAGGGAAGCGCUUGUGACCAGACUUGCGCCCGGUGAAUCACCCAGCUCUCGCGGCUGGGGCACUUUGCCGGCACAGGCCAGCAUCAGCUUGCCGUCGGGGACAAAAGCUUCGGGAACGUAGCUCUCUUCGGGGAGUGUUAUAGCCCGUUGCAUAAUACCCUUCGGCGGGCUGAGGUACGCGCUCCGCAAGGAUGCUGGCGUAAUGGUCAUCAGCGACCCGUCUUGAAACACGGACCAAGGAGUCAACCUUAUGUGCGAGUGUUUGGGUGUUAAACCCCUACGCGUAAUGAAAGUGAACGCAGGUGAGAGCUUCGGCGCAUCAUCGACCGAUCCUGAUGUUCUCGGAUGGAUUUGAGUAAGAGCAUAUAGGGUUGGACCCGAAAGAAGGUGAACUAUGCGUGUAUAGGGUGAAGCCAGAGGAAACUCUGGUGGAGGCUCGCAGCGGUUCUGACGUGCAAAUCGAUCGUCAAAUAUGCGCAUGGGGGCGAAAGACUAAUCGAACCUUCUAGUAGCUGGUUUCCGCCGAA
rnacentral:rRNA from 1 species